rnacentral:rRNA from 1 species
AGGACGAACGCUGGCGGCGUGCUUAACACAUGCAAGUCGAGCGGAAAGGCCCUUCGGGGUACUCGAGCGGCGAACGGGUGAGUAACACGUGAGUAAUCUGCCCCUAGCUCUGGGAUAGCUCCGGGAAACCGGGAUUAAUACCGGAUAUGACCACUUUAGACAUCUGCUGUGGUGGAAAGAAUUUCGGCUAGGGAUGAGCUCGCGGCCUAUCAGCUUGUUGGUGGGGUAACGCUACCAAGGCGACGACGGGUA